GUUUCUGUGGUGUAGUUGGUUAUCACAUCUGCCUAACACGCAGAAGGUCCUCAGUUCGAACCUGAGCAGAAACA